rnacentral:misc_RNA from 1 species
UCUAGGAAGAGCGUGUUCAGAUUUUAAGCUUCGGGCUUUGGUCUCACACAUUCUUAUUAGAACAAAGAUCGCAGGCCAGUCAGCCUGACGAUCGUGCCUACAAUGCAGGGACUGCCGCCUACGUUUCUCUUUCUUUCAACAUGAUAUGCGCUCGCGCGCCGUACCGCCCCAUGGGGCUGGCGCUCCGCGGGGGCGCGGCACGAGCCGCGACGCGCUAGCGCGCUGUAUUUGGCACUCGAUUGUCAAAGCAGGGCUUGUAGCUCAGUUGGUUAGAGCGCGCGCUUGAUAAGCGUGAGGUCGGAGGUUCAAGUCCUCCCAGGCCCACCAUUCCUUCACCAAAGGGGCCGUAGCUCAGCUGGGAGAGCACCUGCUUUGCAAGCAGGGGGUCGUCGGUUCGAUCCCGUCCGGCUCCACCAUUGGUUUGAGCAAGAUAUCAUGUGUUGGAAGAAACAAGUUUGCAGCUUGUUGAGCCUUUGCUCAAUGACUGCGUGUUCUGUAUGAAAUUGUGAAGAGAAGAUAUAUCCGGAUCAUCUGGAUGUUCAAAGGUUGGUGCCUUCGGGUGCUGAUCUUGCGGCUUUCGGGCCAUGAACGCCGGAUGAUGUCGUCAAGGGAUGCUCAUCAAUAGCCCUUGGCAAAUGAUUGGCCGCUUAACCGCAGAGCCAUCGGAUUUAUCUCGAGAAGCUGGUCUUUUUUGUCAAAUUCAUUGAUUGCUGAGGGUUUUGUCGUCCUGUUGGUAUCCCCCACAGGCGCAAGGUUCUCGUGAAGGCAAGGAUGGAUAUUGGCAAUGAGAAUGAUCAAGUGUCUUAAGGGCAUUUGGUGGAUGCCUUGGCAUGCACAGGCGAUGAAGGACGUGAUACGCUGCGAUAAGCGUCGGGAGGUGCGAAU